GCAUAUCAAUAAGCGGAGGAAAAGAAAAUAACAAUGAUUUCCCUAGUAACGGCGAGUGAAGAGGAAAGAGCUCAAAGUUGGAAACUGUUUGGCUUAGCUAAACCGUAUUGUAAACUGUAGAAACAUUUUCCUGGCACACCAGAUUAAUAAGUCCUUUGGAACAAGGCAUCAUGGAGGGUGAGAAUCCCGUCUUUGAUCUGAGUAGUUGUCUUUUGUGAUAUGUUUUCAAAGAGUCAGGUUGUUUGGGAAUGCAGCCUAAAUUGGGUGGUAAAUCUCACCUAAAGCUAAAUAUUUGCGAGAGACCGAUAGCGAACAAGUACCGUGAGGGAAAGAUGAAAAGAACUUUGAAAAGAGAGUUAAACAGUAUGUGAAAUUGUUAAAAGGGAACCGUUUGGAGCCAGACUGGUUUGCCUGUAAUCAACCUAGAAUUCGUUUUGGGUGCACUUGCAGGCUAUACCUGCCAACAACAGUUUGAUUUGGAGGAAAAAAUUAGUAGGAAUGUAGCCUCUCGAGGUGUUAUAGCCUACUAUCAUACUCUGGAUUGGACUGAGGAACGCAGCGAAUGCCUUUAGGCAAGAUUGCUGGGUGCUUUCGCUAAUAAAUGUUAGAAUUUCUGCUUCGGGUGGUGCUAAUGUUUAAAGGAGGAACACAUCUAGUAUAUUUUUUAUUCGCUUAGGUUGUUGGCUUAAUGACUCUAAAUGACCCGUCUUGAAACACGGACCAAGGAGUCCACCAUAAGUGCAAGUAUUUGAGUGACAAACUCAUAUGCGUAAGGAAACUGAUUGAUACGAAGUCUUUUGAUGGCAGUAUCACCCGGCGUCGACGUUUUAACUGAAAUGACCGAGGUAAAGCACUUAUGAUGGGACCCGAAAGAUGGUGAACUAUGCCUGAAUAGGGUGAAGCCAGAGGAAACUCUGGUGGAGGCUCGUAGCGAUUCUGACGUGCAAAUCGAUCGUCAAAUUUGGGUAUAGGGGCGAAAGACUAAUCGAACCAUCUAGUAGCUGGUCUGC
rnacentral:rRNA from 1 species